rnacentral:lncRNA from 1 species
GAAAGAAAAGGACAUGAAAGGUGUUCGAUCUGCUUUCGUGGCAAUAUGGAAGUGGGCAUACUAAAUUCUAAGAGGAAAAAGAUUCUUCUUUUUGGUUGGAUUCUCCCUCUCUACAUUUGCACUUAUGAUAUAAUUUAGAAUUAGAAUUUGAACCCGCAUAUCUGUGCGGAUAUUUUUUUAUUUAUAAAUGUAUAAAUUUGAUAUUAUUUUAAACGUUUUAAAUAUAUCACUUUAAUUUUAGUCUUAUAUAUUGUGUAACUCUAUAAUUUUAUUGUUUAGAUUUCUUAAAUAUAUAGUGAUCUAUUUUUUAUUUUUUUUAUUUUUAUUAAUUUUUUUGUAUACAAUAUAUUUUUUAAAUUAAUUUAGUUAUACUAUAAAAAUAUGUUUUUAUAGUAUAAUUAACCAUUUUAAAAAUGAUGAUAUAAUAUGUUAGCUGACAUCUGAGUAACAUAUAUAUUAAUAAAAUCAUAUAAUAUAGCAACUAUAUAUUUAUAUAGCACUAUAGCUAUGAAAAUAUUAAAGGUUAAUUAUAUUAUAAAAAUCAUAUAGUUGUAUAACUAUAAUUUAUCAAUCGUAAAU